rnacentral:rRNA from 1 species
AGCAAUGCGCGUGCUAUACAUGCAAGUCGAGCGGACAGAUGGGAGCUUGCUCCCUGAUGUUAGCGGCGGACGGGUGAGUAACACGUGGGUAACCUGCCUGUAAGACUGGGAUAACUCCGGGAAACCGGGGCUAAUACCGGAUGGUUGUUUGAACCGCAUGGUUCAAACAUAAAAGGUGGCUUCGGCUACCACUUACAGAUGGACCCGCGGCGCAUUAGCUAGUUGGUGAGGUAACGGCUCACCAAGGCAACGAUGCGUAGCCGACCUGAGAGGGUGAUCGGCCACACUGGGACUGAGACACGGCCCAGACUCCUACGGGAGGCAGCAGUAGGGAAUCUUCCGCAAUGGACGAAAGUCUGACGGAGCAACGCCGCGUGAGUGAUGAAGGUUUUCGGAUCGUAAAGCUCUGUUGUUAGGGAAGAACAAGUACCGUUCGAAUAGGGCGGUACCUUGACGGUACCUAACCAGAAAGCCACGGCUAACUACGUGCCAGCAGCCGCGGUAAUACGUAGGUGGCAAGCGUUGUCCGGAAUUAUUGGGCGUAAAGGGCUCGCAGGCGGUUUCUUAAGUCUGAUGUGAAAGCCCCCGGCUCAACCGGGGAGGGUCAUUGGAAACUGGGGAACUUGAGUGCAGAAGAGGAGAGUGGAAUUCCACGUGUAGCGGUGAAAUGCGUAGAGAUGUGGAGGAACACCAAUGGCGAAGGCGACUCUCUGGUCUGUAACUGACGCUGAGGAGCGAAA